CAGUCGCCGCGGUAACACGAAGGAUGCAAGCGUUACUCGGAAUUACUGGGCGUAAAGCGUGCGUAGGUGGUGGUUUAAGUCCGUUGUGAAAGCCCUGGGCUCAACCUGGGAAUUGCAGUGGAUACUGGGUCACUAGAGUGUGGUAGAGGAUAGUGGAAUUUCCGGUGUAGCAGUGAAAUGCGUAGAGAUCGGAAGGAACAUCUGUGGCGAAGGCGACUAUCUGGGCCAACACUGACACUGAGGCACGAAAGCGUGGGGAGCAAACAGGAUUAGAUACCCGCGUAGUCCCUGUCUCUUAUAC
rnacentral:rRNA from 1 species